rnacentral:tRNA from 1 species
UGCCGCGGUGCCUGGGGGAGUUCCGCUACGGCCGCGGGGGCGGGGGCCGGUGGCAGCAGGGCGGGUUCGAUGCCCGCCGCGGCGA